GACGAACGCUGGCGGCGCGCCUAACACAUGCAAGUCGAACGAGCGAGAGAGAGCUUGCUUUCUCGAGCGAGUGGCGAACGGGUGAGUAACGCGUGAGGAACCUGCCUCAAAGAGGGGGACAACAGUUGGAAACGACUGCUAAUACCGCAUAAGCCCACAGCUCGCAUCCGAGCGGGAAGGGAAAAGGAGUAGACUCCGUCUUUGAGAGUCGGCCCCGCGUCCGAUUAGCUAGUUGGUGAGGUAACGGCCCACCAAGGCAACGAUCGGUAGCCGGACUGAGAGGUUGAACGGCCACAUUGGGACUGAGACACGGCCCAG
rnacentral:rRNA from 1 species